rnacentral:rRNA from 1 species
UAGUGGCAGACGGGUGAGUAAUGUAUAGGAAUCUACCUAGUAGUAUGGAAUAAUUGUUGGAAACGGCAACUAAUACCGUAUACGCCCUACGGGGGAAAAAUUUAUUGCUAUUGGAUGAGCCUAUAUUAGAUUAGCUAGUUGGUGGAGUAAUAGCCUACCAAGGCAAUGAUCUAUAGCUGAUCUGAGAGGAUGAUCAGCCACACUGGAACUGAGAUACGGUCCAGACUCCUACGGGAGGCAGCAGUGGGGAAUAUUGGACAAUGGGCGAAAGCCUGAUCCAGCCAUGCCGCAUGAGUGAAGAAGGCCUUUGGGUUGUAAAGCUCUUUUAGUGAGGAAGAUAAUGACGGUACUCACAGAAGAAGUCCUGGCUAACUCCGUGCCAGCAGCCGCGGUAAUACGGAGAGGGCUAGCGUUAUUCGGAAUUAUUGGGCGUAAAGGGCGCGUAGGCUGGUUAAUAAGUUAAAAGUGAAAUCCCGAGGCUUAACCUUGGAAUUGCUUUUAAAACUAUUAAUCUAGAGAUUGAAAGAGGAUAGAGGAAUUCCUGAUGUAGAGGUAAAAUUCGUAAAUAUUAGGAGGAACACCAGUGGCGAAGGCGUCUAUCUGGUUCAAAUCUGACGCUGAAGCGCGAAGGCGUGGGGAGCAAACAGGAUUAGAUACCCUGGUAGUCCACGCUGUAAACGAUGAAUGUUAAAUAUGGGAAGUUUACUUUCUGUAUUACAGCUAACGCGUUAAACAUUCCGCCUGGGGACUACGGUCGCAAGAUUAAAACUCAAAGGAAUUGACGGGGACCCGCACAAGCGGUGGAGCAUGUGGUUUAAUUCGAUGCAACGCGAAAAACCUUACCACUUCUUG